CCCUUAGAUGUUCUGGGCUGCACGCGUGUUACAAUCGGGAGUACGACAAGAUUGCAAAUCCUAGUGGAUGAGUGGUUCUUCGAAAUUUUCUGAAGACUGGGAUAGUUGAUUGAAAUUAUUCAACUCGAACGAGGAAUUCCUUGUAAUUGUAAUUCAUUAUAUUGUAAUGAAUACGUCCCUGCCCUUUGUACACACCGCCCGUCGCUCCUACCGAUUGAACGAUCCGGUGAAUUAUUUGGAGUAGCUCUGGAAGUUGCAGAACUUCCUAUGUCACGAAAUUUUGUAAACCUUAUCGUUUAGAGGAAGGAAAAGUCGUAACA
rnacentral:rRNA from 1 species